rnacentral:misc_RNA from 1 species
GUAGAUUUAUGCAGUCGUUUGGGUGAUUGGUCACCACUUCCCUUGAGCACAUGGGUGGUAUUUGUUGAUGUUUUAGAAUUCUCACUUUUGUAAACAUUAAGCGUCUCCUUUGUUACAUCCAAAUCUUGGUUCAGUCUGGAAAUUUGAUCCUCUUUUUCUUUUAACAAAGCCGCAUAAUUAAUUGAUAAUGCUUUAAUUUCUGCUUCAGAGUCUC